rnacentral:rRNA from 1 species
UGAGGAAUUUUGCGCAAUGGGAGCAAUCCUGACGCAGCAACGCCGCGUGGGUGAUGAAGGCCUUCGGGUCGUAAAGCCCUGUCAGGUGGGAAGAAUGUCCCGGGACUGAACAGGUUUCGGGAGUGACGGUACCACCAGAGGAAGCACCGGCUAACUCCGUGCCAGCAGCCGCGGUAAUACGGAGGGUGCAAGCGUUAUUCGGAAUUACUGGGCGUAAAGCGCGUGUAGGCGGCCCUGCAAGUCUGAUGUGAAAGCCCCGGGCUUAACCCGGGAAGUGCAUUGGAAACUGUGGGACUUGAGUACUGGAGAGGAUGGGGGAAUUCCCGGUGUAGAGGUGAAAUUCGUAGAGAUCGGGAGGAAUAUCAGUGGCGAAGGCGCCCAUCUGGACGGUAACUGACGCUGAGGCUCGAAAGUGUGGGGAGCAAACA